UCAGCGGCUAGGUUAGCUACCGAAAAGGAGUGUUCACCUACUCCCUGCCGUUGGUUUUCUUUGAGGU
rnacentral:sRNA from 1 species